rnacentral:rRNA from 1 species
AUUGAACGCUGGCGGCAGGCCUAACACAUGCAAGUCGAGCGAGCGGCGGACGGGUGAGUAAUGUAUGGGGACUGCCCGAUAGAGGGGGAUAACUACUGGAAACGGUAGCUAAUACCGCAUACUAUCGGAUAACCCAUAUGGGAUUAGCUAGUAGGUGAGGUAAUUGCUCACCGAGGCGACGAUCCCUAGCUGGUCUGAGAGGAUGAUCAGCCACAUUGGGACUGAGACACGGCCCAGAGGCCAACGGAUGCAACAGUGGGGAAUAUUGCACAAUUGGCCCAAGCCUGAUGCAGCCAUGCCGUGUGUAUGAAGAAAGCCGUGGGGUUGUAAAGUACUUUCAGCGGGGAGGCGUUACCCGCAGAAUAAGGACCGGCUAACUCCGUGCGAGCAGCCGCGGUAAUAC